rnacentral:rRNA from 1 species
AUUGAACGCUGGCGGCAGGCCUAACACAUGCAAGUCGAGCGAGCGGCGGACGGGUGAGGAAUGUCUGGGAAACUGCUUGUUGGAGGGGGAUAACUACUGGAAACGGUAGCUAAUACCGCAUACCAUCAGAUUUGCCCAGAUGGGAUUCGCUAGUAGGGGGGGUAACGGCUCACCUAGGCGACGAUCCCUUGCUGGUCUGAGAGGAUGACCAGGCACACUGGAACUGUGACAGGGCCAAGACUCCUACGGGAGGCAGCAGUGGGGAAUCUUGCACAAUGGGCGGAAGCCUGAUGCAGCCAUGCGGCGUGUGAGAAGAAGGUCUUAGGGUUGUAAAGCACUUUCAGCGGGGAGGCGUUACCCGCAGACGAAGCACCGACGAACACCGUGCCAGCAGCCGCGGUAAUAC